AAGCCCACCACUGGCCACACACCUUCCUUAGACCCUUAGAAAGUUCCAGCUACCUCCUGUGUCCUGAGAUUGUAAGUCCUGGAGACAGCAGCCAAAGCUCCUUGGGAUCUCACGAGAGCUCACUGGGGCAAGGUGCUGGGCACAUGAGGGGGCAGAAUAGACAUGAUUUACUGAGCACUUACUAUGGUGUGUGCCAGGCGCUGGGCUGGGCAUGUCACGUGUACUACAGUUCUCAUCUGGCCCUCACAGGUCCUUGUGGGGUGGUACCACGAGCAUUCCCAUUUUACAGACGGCUCAGACAGAAAGCUCAGAUAACUUGUUCCAAGUCACACAGCUAAGAAGUGGCAGGUCUGGGAUUGAAAUCCAGGUCUGAUUACCUCCAAAAUAUGGUUUCUUCCCUCUAUACCCUGCAUGGUGUCAAAUUCAGCUCCUCUCAACACAAUUUUCUAAUGAAAGGAACAUCAGCUUUAGCCUAAGGUAGGCCUAGAUUACAAUCUCAGAUCAGUCCCAGCUCUGCCACUUGCAAUUAUCCGAUUCUGGAACGAUGACUAACACUCGGUUUCCUCGUCUGUGAAAUGGGAAGAAUCAAAGCAGCUACACCUCCUUCAAUUUGUAAAAUUGAAGAAGUUAAUGUGUGUAAAGUGCUAAACCAGUGCUUGGCACAGAGCAGACUCAAUAAAUAGAAGCUUCCCUCCCCUCCCAUCCUACAGCUGGGAAAACUGAGGACUGCAGAGGUGAUGGGAUGUGCUUGAGGCCCUACAGGGUAGGAGAGGCAUGGCCUGGAGUCUUCUGCUUCCAUGAGGGGAGGUCGGGCUGGGGCUGAAUUUGAGACCAGAGAUGGGGAGAGAGGAGGCCUGCCAAGAGGCCCUGGGGUCUUCUUCCCUGAGGACUGGAGAAGAUACUUCCCCCAGGCCCUGUGGUGCCCAGCCUGCGGGCCAAGGCAGGUUACUGGAUGGAAGGUGACCUGGGUGUCCUGGCAACAUGGGGUUAAACUAGAUUGCACACACAUGUGCACAUGUGUGAGUGGCUAUCUACAUGGCUCUACAGAGCGCUACAUAGCUAUACAUAUACACAUCUUACAUACAUAUACAUAUACAUCUUGCUAAAUUUGCAGUAGAAAAAAAUGCAAGACUCUGGACCCUGGCCCAUUUGUCCCCAGGACUCAGGCAACUGAGGCUCCCUAGGAACAAACUCAUGGGCAGCCCUUCCUGGAGGAACGGAGAUGACUCCCAGCAGAGUGGGGCUCCAGGUUCACAGCUAAGGGCCUAGUGGUGGCUAUUGCCCUAAAAUGAAUACAAUGACCCGUCUGCGCUAGGAAUCCCAAACAUGGGUCAUCCCCACCCCUGCCAAGCCCCAGAAACCCCACCUGCCUUCCUCUGGCUUUUACACUUGGGCCCUGCCUGCUCCCCUCCCCCCUCCCUCCCUCUAGNNNNNNNNNNNNNNNNNNNNNNNNNNNNNNNGUGACCAAAAAUCUAUAGCUCUAAGAAUACCUGGUUAUUUUCUGCUGUCUUUUGUUUUUCUGGUGUGGAUUUUUUAAUGAUAAUUAUUAUUGUUAUUGGUAUAUCUCCUAAUCACAGUUAAACCUGAAGGAAGAAAGAAGGGAGAAAAAGAAAUAAAAAGAGGAGAG
ensembl:lncRNA